AGAAGAGCUUGCUCUUCGAUUCAGCGGCGGACGGGUGAGUAAUGCCUAGGAAUCUGCCUGGUAGUGGGGGACAACGUUUCGAAAGGAACGCUAAUACCGCAUACGUCCUACGGGAGAAAGCAGGGGACCUUCGGGCCUUGCGCUAUCAGAUGAGCCUAGGUCGGAUUAGCUAGUUGGUGAGGUAAUGGCUCACCAAGGCGACGAUCCGUAACUGGUCUGAGAGGAUGAUCAGUCACACUGGAACUGAGACACGGUCCAGACUCCUACGGGAGGCAGCAGUGGGGAAUAUUGGACAAUGGGCGAAAGCCUGAUCCAGCCAUGCCGCGUGUGUGAAGAAGGUCUUCGGAUUGUAAAGCACUUUAAGUUGGGAGGAAGGGCAUUAACCUAAUACGUUAGUGUUUUGACGUUACCGACAGAAUAAGCACCGGCUAACUCUGUGCCAGCAGCCGCGGUAAUACAGAGGGUGCAAGCGUUAAUCGGAAUUACUGGGCGUAAAGCGCGCGUAGGUGGUUUGUUAAGUUGAAUGUGAAAGCCCCGGGCUCAACCUGGGAACUGCAUCCAAAACUGGCAAGCUAGAGUACGGUAGAGGGUGGUGGAAUUUCCUGUGUAGCGGUGAAAUGCGUAGAUAUAGGAAGGAACACCAGUGGCGAAGGCGACCACCUGGACUGAUACUGACACUGAGGUGCGAAAGCGUGGGGAGCAAACAGGAUU
rnacentral:rRNA from 1 species